UACGGGGGGGGCAAGCGUUGUUCGGAAUUACUGGGCGUAAAGGGCUGGUAGGCGGCCAACUAAGUCGGAUGUGAAAUCCCCAGGCUUAACCUGGGAACUGCAUCCGAUACUGGUCGGCUUGAAUCCGGGAGAGGGAUGCAGAAUUCCAGGUGUAGCGGUGAAAUGCGCAGAUAUCGGGAAGAACACCUAUGGCGAAGGCAGCUCUCUGGGACGGUACUGACGCUGAGACGCGAAAGCGUGGGGAGCGAACAGG
rnacentral:rRNA from 1 species